GGUAUCGAACCGGAAUCCCCUGUGCGGAAAGGCAGAUUCUUAACCACUAGACCACCACGGAAGUCCCUCCUGAUUUUUUAGAUUGAGAAUAUAAGGCUAAGGAAAAUGGGUGGAUUGCCUCGGGUCUCCCAGUUUAAUAUGGUUUAACUGGAACUAGAACACAAGCCAAUGCAUGCACUUUGGUCCACGGGUGCAAGAAAGGAUAACCUCUAACCUUAACUGGCAAAACAUCAAUAUGUAUUGAAUACAGAAUUGAUGCUUUUGAACUGUAGUGUUAGAGAAGACUCUUGAGAGUCCCUUAGACUGCAAGGUGAUCCAACCAGCCCAUCUGAAAGGAAAUCAGUCCUGAAUGUUCAUUGGAAGGACUGAUGUUGAAGCUAAAACUCCAAUACUUUGGCCACCUGAUGUGAAGAACUGACUCAUUGGAAAAGACCCUGAUGCUGGGAAAGAUUGAAGGCAGGAGAAGGAGAUGACAGAGGAUGAGAUGGUUCGAUGGCAUCACUGAAUCAAUGGACAUGAGUUUGAGUCAACUCCGGGAGUUGGUGAUGGACAGGGAGGCCUGGCGUGCUGCAGUCCAUGGGGUCGCAAAGAGGCAAGCACAACUGAGUGACUGAACUGAACUGAUUGGCCACACACCAUGCUGGGGACCAAGGAUACAGUAGAACCACUGCCUCCUCGGAUGUGCUGGCCUCCUAACAGAUAGUCCAAACACAAGUAGGACAACUUCAGGCUCAAUAGAAUAUUGUCAUCUCUCCAGAGGGAAAGGCCCAGAGUCCUCCAGACCCAGAUUUCCAAGGGCAUUCAGACUCUGACAGGGAAAUGUGUGAAAGAUAAAAAGUUUAACAGAAAUGGAAGUUCCAGGAAGAAUGUGUCUGGACAGUGGACUUCCCUGGUGGCUCAGCAGUAAAGAAUCCAUCUGCCAGUGCAGGAGAUGCAGCCUCAAUCCCUGGAUUGGGAAGAUCUCCUAGAGAAGGAAAUGGCAAUGUACCCCAGUAUUCUUGCCUGGGAAAUCCCAUGGACAGAGGAGCCUAGUGGGCUAGAGUCCAUGGGGUCACAGAAUCGGACACAACUUAGCGACUGAACAACAAGCACUAUUUUCCAACAGGAGGUGAAAUGAUGAAAGCGCAAUAUUCAGUUAACCAGAAACAGACAGGGUCCAGGAGCCCAUCACUAAGCAUUCUGAUGGCUCAAGCUUCUCUGAAAAGUCUCUCAGUACUGUUUCUAUUUUUUGAAAAUGAUAAAGGUGUAAUCCUAUAAAAUGUCUUUUAUAGGAUUGAACUGAAUCCAGGUAGAAAAAGGAUAAAUAGUUGGAAUGACGCAUGUUUGAAAGGGUGAGAGGUAAGAAGAAAAACUAUCGUUUGGUGCUGUGAGCAUCAUCAUUUUAUGGGAGACAGGUCCACGGAGAGAGGGUAUUUAUUCUAAGGGCCUUCGCUCUGAAUCUUUGCAACGUUCUCCUUUGUCCUGUCCCAGGGCACAAACAUUUUACAGCAGAAAGGUGAAUGUGUCCUUGACCACUGAGGUCUUCUGUCUGAAUCAUUAUUAGUCAAUCCUUGAAACAGAAAAAUAGGAGACUUCCCCUGGGGUCUAGGGGUUAAGUUCCCAGUGCAAGGGCUGCGGAUUUGGUCCUUCAUUGGGAAACUAGGAUCCCACAUACCAUGAGCUG
ensembl:lncRNA